rnacentral:rRNA from 1 species
CGCUGGCGGCGUGCUUAAUACAUGCAAGUCAACUUGACUUUAGAUAGCAAUAUCGAAAAGUAGGGUGGCGCGCGGGUGCGUAACGCGUAGGUAAUCUGCCCUGAGGUCUGACAUAACCCGUCGAAAGGCGGGCUAACAUCAGAUGAUAUAUAAUCACGACAUCGUGGAAAUAUCAAAUCUUCGGAGCCUUGGGAUGAGCCUGCGUCUGAUUAGGUAGUUGGCGGAGUAAUAGCCCACCAAGCCUACGAUCAGUAGCUGGUCUGAGAGGAUGAUCAGCCACACUGGAACUGAGACACGGUCCAGACUCCUACGGGAGGCAGCAGUAAGGAAUAUUGCUCAAUGGGGGGAAACCCUGAAGCAGCAACGCCGCGUGAAGGAUGAAAUACUUUUGUAUGUAAACUUCUGUAAGAUGGGAAAAAUAUUCUCCUCGGGAGAAUUGAUUGUACCAUCAGAGUAAGCCCCGGCUAACUACGUG